AUCAAAUUCAAAACAAGUCCCUUCCCAUCUGCUCUGUACCCAGAAGGGAGUAGAAAAUAAUGAAGGCAGUACUGAUGGAUGAGAUGGAAUUAGAUGAGGCUUCAGUGGUAUGAUGAAAGCUCUAAGAAAGUAGACCCACAUUUCAGUGUGACAAGUGGCAAGGACUCACUUGGCCAUUGGACCAAUGACUCUGCAAUCAAUGCUCCAUCAAUCACUACUGCCACGAGACUCCAAGUCAAUCCAGAAAUCACAGCUUCAUGCAAUAGUCAAAAACCAUGCCCAAGAAGAAGCAAAAAGGCCAAAUGGUUGUCAGCUGAGAAAAGAAGAGAAGUGAAAGGCAAAGGAGAAAAGGAAAGAUAAACCCAUCUGAAUGCAGAGUUCCAAAGAAUAGCAAGGAGAGAUAAGAAAGAAUUCCUUGGUGAUCAAUGAAAGGAAAUAGAGGAAAACAAUAGAAUGGGAAAGACUAGAGAUCUCUUCAAGAAAAUUAGAGAUACCAAGGGAAUAUUUCAAGACAGAAAUGGUAUGGACCCAACAGAAGCAGAAGAUAUUAAGAAGAGGUGGCAAGAAAACACAGAAGAACUAUACAGAAAAGGAUCUUAGUGACCCAGAUAACCAUGAUGGUGUGAUCACUCACUUAGAGCCAGACAUUCUGGAGUGCGAAGUCAAGUGGGCCUUAGGAAGCAUCACUGCGAACAAAAAGCUAGUGGAGGUGAUGGAACUCCAAAGGAGUUCCACUGGAACUGCAGAGGGUGGCGCUACUUCAAAUCCUGAAAGGUGAUGCUGUGAAAGUGCUGCACUCAAUAUGCCAGCAAAUUUGGAAAACUCAGCAGUGGCCACAGGACUGGAAAAGGCAGUUAUCAUUCCAAUCCCAAGUAAAGACAAUGCCAGAGAAUGUUCAAACUACCACACAGUUGCACUCAUCUCACACACUAGCAAAGUAAUGCUCAAAAUUAUCCAAGCUAGACUUCAAUAGUAUAUAAACCGAGAACUUCCAGAUGUUCAAGCUGGACUUAGAAAAGGCAGAGGAACCAGAAAUCAAACUGCCAACAUCUGCUGGAUCAUUGAGAAAGCAAAAGAGUUCUAGAAAACAUCUACUUCUGCUUCACUGACUAUGCUAAAGUGUUUGACUGUGUGGAUCACAACAAACUGUGGAAAAUUCUUAAAGAGAUGGGAAUACCAGACUAUCUGACCUGCCUUCUGAGAACUCUGUAUGCAGGUCAAGAAGCAACAGUUAGAACUGGACAUGGAACAAUGGAUGGUUCCAAAUUGGGAAAGGAGCACAUCAAGGCUCUAUAUUGUCACCUUGCUUAUUUAACUUCUAUGCAGAGUAAAAGUGAAAGUGAAGGUCCCUCAGUAUGUCUGACUCUUGGCGACCGCAUGAACUAUACAGUCCAUGGAACUCUCCAGGCCAGAAUGCCAGAGUGGGUAGCCUUGCCCUUCUCCAGGGAAUCUUCCCAACCCAGGGAUCCAAUGCAGGUCUUCCGAAUUGCAGGCAGAUUCUUUCCCAGCUGAGCACAAAAGUACAUCAUACUAAAUGCCAGACUGGAUGAAGCAAAAGCUGGAAUCAAGAUUUCAGGAGAAAUAUCAGUAACCUCCUAUAUGCAGAUAAUAUCACCCUUAUGGCAGAAAGCAAAGAAGAGCUAAAGAGCCUCUUGAUGAAAGUGAAAGAAGAGGGUGAAAAAUCUGGCUUAAAACUCAAUAUUCCAAAAAAGAAGAUCAUGGCAUCCAGUUCCAUCACUUCAUGGCAAACAGAUGGGGAAACAAUGGAAACAGUGACAGAUAUUAGUUUCCUG
ensembl:lncRNA